rnacentral:ncRNA from 2 species
AUCUUAUCAAGAGAGGUGGAGGGACUGGCCCUGUGAAGCCCGGCAACCUGUAUUUAUACAAGGUGCCAAUUCCCGAUAGAUGAGAU